GAUGAACGCUGGCGGAAUGCUUUACACAUGCAAGUCGAACGGCAGCACGGGGCAACCUGGUGGCGAGUGGCGAACGGGUGAGUAAUACAUCGGAACGUGCCCAAUCGUGGGGGAUAACGUAGCGAAAGUUACGCUAAUACCGCAUACGAUCUACGGAUGAAAGCGGGGGAUCGCAAGACCUCGCGCGAAUGGAGCGGCCGAUGUCAGAUUAGGUAGUUGGUGGGGUAAAGGCUCACCAAGCCAAUGAUCUGUAGCUGGUCUGAGAGGACGACCAGCCACACUGGAACUGAGACACGGUCCAGACUCCUACGGGAGGCAGCAGUGGGGAAUUUUGGACAAUGGGCGCAAGCCUGAUCCAGCCAUUCCGCGUGCAGGAUGAAGGCCUUCGGGUUGUAAACUGCUUUUGUACGGAACGAAACGGUCUGCCCUAAUACGGCGGGCUAAUGACGGUACCGUAAGAAUAAGCACCGGCUAACUACGUG
rnacentral:rRNA from 1 species